rnacentral:rRNA from 1 species
GAUGAACGCUGGCGGCGUGCCUAAUACAUGCAAGUCGAGCGAACAGACGAGGAGCUUGCUCCUCUGACGUUAGCGGCGGACGGGUGAGUAACACGUGGAUAACCUACCUAUAAGACUGGGAUAACUUCGGGAAACCGGAGCUAAUACCGGAUAAUAUAUUGAACCGCAUGGUUCAAUAGUGAAAGACGGUUUUGCUGUCACUUAUAGAUUGAUCCGCGCCGCAUUAGCUAGUUGGUAAGGUAACGGCUUACCAAGGCAACGAUGCGUAGCCGACCUGAGAGGGUGAUCGGCCACACUGGAACUGAGACACGGUCCAGACUCCUACGGGAGGCAGCAGUAGGGAAUCUUCCGCAAUGGGCGAAAGCCUGACGGAGCAACGCCGCGUGAGUGAUGAAGGUCUUCGGAUCGUAAAACUCUGUUAUUAGGGAAGAACAAAUGUGUAAGUAACUAUGCACGUCUUGAUGGUACCUAAUCAGAAAGCCACGGCUAACUACGUG